AAAGUCGUAACAAGGUAACCGUAGGUGAACCUGCGGUUGGAUCAUUAAAAAGAUUAGUUUAUUGGCUUGUAUUUAUUAAAAUAAUACACGGUCUCCCUUCCACACGUUGAGGAUCCCUUUCGUUCGUUCGUUCUUUAUGGGAUCUUCCGUUCUUGAGGGAGGCUUUAAGCCUUUAACUCAACAUCUUGUGAACUGUUCUGUUUUUGGCGGGUGGAUGGAGUUGUCUCCGUUUGUCAGCUCGGCAUCUAUGCCAAGCCGUGGACAUCCCGCCGACCGUUUGCAUAACUUCUGCCUUUUUUUAUUUUUUCCUGACAUUUUGUAUGAAUAAUACAAACAACUUUUGGCAACGGAUCUCUUGGCUCUC
rnacentral:misc_RNA from 1 species